UUGUCUGAGCAGACAGUCAGAACGAAUGUAUGUGCACUUGAGCAUUUAGGCCUAUUUUUUUUUUCUUUAUUUUAAUUAGUUAAUUAUGUUCAUUUAAAUAUUUUGAAUAUUUAUAUCGUCAUUUUCGUUUCAAAUUUUAUAAAUAGACUCGGCUCUUCUGAAAUGCGAGCCGGCUCCCAACGUUCACCUACAAGACUCGUUCGCGAACGGCCCAAAGCAGUCUGGACUGGUUGAAGCAGAGUGGGAAGGAUUAUUUUGAAAGUGUUUCAGUCUGCCGUGAAUCAUCAUAAUCCAUACACUGAUGGCUCAGUGCGGGACGAAGCAACGUUAACCCAGCUAGCUGAGCUGGCCAGUUGCAUUCUGCUGUUAGUGUUGAAUGCAUAAACCUGCUCUCCGCCACCAGCAAAAUUAGAUGAUUGAGGGUGAACAUGCAACACAUCAGCUUUAAUUGUCUGGAGCCUGGUGGUGUUGUAGCCAUGGAGCUUUCACUCAGAUGGAACCAGGUUACAGCUGCUGUGCAACGUUGACGUCCUUCCUCCCAGACAUGUGAAUGCAUCCCACUGGACACAACCCGGCAAACAUAUUUUUGAGAAAAUCAGGACUUUUGCAAUGAAAAGGCCAUGGACAUUAUAUGUCCUGAUCCAAAGGGCAGAAUAGAAAUAUGCUCCCAGGCUAGAUUCCUUUGUUCAUAUCAUAACAUGACCUGAACCAAAGUUAUUCUAAGGAUCUUGUGAUAUAGGCCUAGGUCAAUAUAUUGUUUUUACCUAAGCCUUUGUGUUUGUGUGUUUUUAAGUUUUUCGUAAUUGCAGGCUACUACCUUUAGCACUUGCAGUUAAUCAAGUAUUUUUGAAAUAUUGUCUUUGUUUUUUAAGCACUACCUCACUGCUUUAGCACAUUGCCAUGGUCACCUGUUCCAAUGUGAAUUUUUUAAGAGACGGGUAGGUCUAAGCCGUUAGAGUGUGUGAACGAUGCUAAAUGGGCAUAAACAAAGAACAGCACUGUAGCUGUUCAAUGUGAAAGGUUAUUUUUAUUAUACAGCAAUAAGCAAUGUAAUACUGUACAUGGUUUGCCUAAUGGGGUAACUUGGUAUUAGUAUUCCUAUAGAAAAGUAUUCCUUUUCUAAAUAUAUGUUUCCCAAGUAUUAAUGUAGAGGAUGUGUGAAAAUCACAGCAAAAUGUUUGAAUGCCCUUUUCUCCCAAAUGGGAUUUGAAGUUUAGCAAUUUUUAAAGCAGCAUUACUUACCCACGUUUCCUCCAACUGCAGUGUAUGAUAUACCAUUUUGAAGCAUCUGUACUUUUAUCCAAUGUAAAAAAUUCAUUAAAUGUUGAACAUAAGACUGAAAAGAGAUGGUGGGUCACACAUGACUUAAAUGUAAUGUUAUUAUGGGUUUUUGGAGUAUGAGAGUAGAAGAAUGCCGCUGUGUGAAGCAAUUGUACAUUCUCAGAAACCCCAACAAUUCACAAAGCAAAUACAUAAAAUUCAUAUCAAACGACAGUCGUUAAAGGCAUCAUUCAGUUGAAUCAGCUUGUCUCCCUUUAAUUGUGUUAUAUUGAGGGACAUUUAGAGUGGUGUUGAAGUGCUGUAAAUUGAGGCAUCGAUUUUCCUGUUUCUUUGAGCUGGGAAUAAGAUCAUUUGAAGAGUUUUCUUAUCGGCCCAGGUCAGACGUUGGCGUUUAUACACUGAAAAAGUCAACUUUGGCCAGUUUUCAAGUCUUUUUCACAGUCAAAGCCAUUCACCAUAAACGUUUACAGCGGAACAUAUGUGUAUGGAGAAGCCACCUACCAGCCUGCCAAGAAUUCUCUAAAUGAAUAUGCAUUUAAUGAAUAUACUUUACAUAUAAAACUGCUACUAAUCCCAAUUAUCCCAUGCAUAUUGUAAAGCAGCUUGUCUUUGAGCCAAAAUAAAGGGUCCAGGCCAAUCAACGUGUGUUAACCCCUUUAGGGAGGGAACCACUGUGUUUGAGAGGCUAAGAGAUACAGCAGACACACACACACACUGGAUACCUCAACAAUGGACACAAACACUGGAUCCCUCAACAACACACAUAAACACGAUACCACAACAACACAUAUAUAAAUACCAGAUACCUCAACAACACAUAUAUAAAUACUGGAUACCUCAACAACACAUAUAAACACUGGAUACCACAACAACACACAUAAACACUGGAUACCACAACAACACACAUAAAUACUGGAUACCACAACAACACACAUAAACACUGGAUACCUCAAUACACACAAACACUGGAUACCUCAACAAUGGACACAAACACUGGAUCCCUCAACAACACACACAUAAACACUGGAUACCACAACAACACAUAUAAAAAUACCAGAUACCUCAACAACACAUAUAUAAAAUACCAGAUACCUCAACAACACAUAUAUAAAUACUGGAUACCUCAACAACACAUAUAUAAAUACUGGAUACCACAACAACACACAUAAACACUGGAUACCACAACAACACAUAUAUAAAUACUGGAUACCUCAACAACACAUAUAUAAAUACUGGAUACCACAACAACACAUAUAUAAAUACUGGAUACCUCAACAACACAUAUAUAAAUACUGGAUACCACAACAACAAAUAUAUAAAUACUGGAUACCACAACAACAAAUAUAUAAAUACUGGAUACCUCAACAACACAUAUAUAAAUACUGGAUACCUCAACAACACACAUAAACACUGGAUACCACAACAACACAU